UACGUAGGGUGCGAGCGUUAAUCGGAAUUACUGGGCGUAAAGCGUGCGCAGGCGGUUUUGUAAGCCAGAUGUGAAAUCCCCGGGCUUAACCUGGGAAUGGCAUUUGGGACUGCAAGGCUCGAGUGCGGCAGAGGAGACUGGAAUUCCUGGUGUAGCAGUGAAAUGCGUAGAUAUCGGGAGGAACAUCUGUGGCGAAGGCGGCUCUCUGGACCAGCACUGACACUGAGGCACGAAAGCGUGGGGAGCAAACAGG
rnacentral:rRNA from 1 species